GACGAACGCUGGCGGCGUGCUUAACACAUGCAAGUCGAACGGAAAGGCCCUGCUUUUGUGGGGUGCUCGAGUGGCGAACGGGUGAGUAACACGUGAGUAACCUGCCCUUGACUUUGGGAUAACUUCAGGAAACUGGGGCUAAUACCGGAUAGGAGCUCCUGCUGCAUGGUGGGGGUUGGAAAGUUUCGGCGGUUGGGGAUGGACUCGCGGCUUAUCAGCUUGUUGGUGGGGUAGUGGCUUACCAAGGCUUUGACGGGUAGCCGGCCUGAGAGGGUGACCGGCCACAUUGGGACUGAGAUACGGCCCAGACUCCUACGGGAGGCAGCAGUGGGGAAUAUUGCACAAUGGGCGGAAGCCUGAUGCAGCAACGCCGCGUGCGGGAUGACGGCCUUCGGGUUGUAACCCGCUUUCGCCUGUGACGAAGCGUGAGUGACGGUAAUGGGUAAAGAAGCACCGGCUAACUACGUGCCAGCAGCCGCGGUGAUACGUAGGGUGCGAGCGUUGUCCGGAUUUAUUGGGCGUAAAGGGCUCGUAGGUGGUUGAUCGCGUCGGAAGUGUAAUCUUGGGGCUUAACCCUGAGCGUGCUUUCGAUACGGGUUGACUUGAGGAAGGUAGGGGAGAAUGGAAUUCCUGGUGGAGCGGUGGAAUGCGCAGAUAUCAGGAGGAACACCAGUGGCGAAGGCGGUUCUCUGGGCCUUUCCUGACGCUGAGGAGCGAAAGCGUGGGGAGCGAACAGGCUUAGAUACCCUGGUAGUCCACGCUGUAAACGGUGGGUACUAGGUGUGGGGUCCAUUCCACGGGUUCCGUGCCGUAGCUAACGCUUUAAGUACCCCGCCUGGGGAGUACGGCCGCAAGGCUAAAACUCAAAGGAAUUGACGGGGCCCCGCACAAGCGGCGGAGCAUGCGGAUUAAUUCGAUGCAACGCGUAGAACCUUACCUGGGUUUGACAUGGAUCGGGAGCGCUCAGAGAUGGGUGUGCCUCUUUUGGGGUCGGUUCACAGGUGGUGCAUGGCUGUCGUCAGCUCGUGUCGUGAGAUGUUGGGUUAAGUCCCGCAACGAGCGCAACCCUUGUUCACUGCUGCCAGCACGUUAUGGUGGGGACUCAGUGGAGACCGCCGGGGUCAACUCGGAGGAAGGUGGGGAUGACGUCAAGUCAUCAUGCCCCUUAUGUCCAGGGCUUCACGCAUGCUACAAUGGCUGGUACAGAGAGUGGCGAGCCUGUGAGGGUGAGCGAAUCUCGGAAAGCCGGUCUCAGUUCGGAUUGGGGUCUGCAACUCGACCUCAUGAAGUCGGAGUCGCUAGUAAUCGCAGAUCAGCAACGCUGCGGUGAAUACGUUCCCGGG
rnacentral:rRNA from 1 species